rfam:Anisakis simplex genome assembly, scaffold: ASIM_scaffold0000420
UCCGCGAUAGCUUAUAGGUAGAGCCCCAAUCGGUAAUUGGUACGUCGCGGGUUCGACUCCCGUUCGCGGAG